UUGCAUGUAGUGAUCAUUUAUAGUUCUAUACAGCAAAUAUUGAAACAACUUGUAGUUUGCCCUAAUUUUGUUGGCGCUAAUUUUGUUGCGCCUUUUGUUGCGGAUCAUGUGUAUAUCUACUCUGGGACAUGCAGAUUGGAAGCCCCUACAGUUCCUGUGUUUCGCGUAUUUCUACAUAAUACUGGAGAAGCUGAAGGCUACAGAACCAGCUAUUGCUCCCAUAUAUAAUGUGAGCCUAUUUCUGGACACAAGGCAAUUCAAAUUUAUACAUGUAAAUGUUUUCCAUGUGAGGCAGUUUCCUAAGUUUAAUUUUCAUAUUUUUUUAUAUUCUACAUUUCAUAUUGAACGCUGGCUUCUAUUGGCUCAGAUUUUAUUUUUAACUCAUAGUAGUUCAGAGAUAACACAAACAAAAUCAAUUUAAGGCCCUGCUUGUUUGAGCUUCUGCUGGCUUUGGCUUCUGAGCGUUCUAUUGGCUCGGUUCUUUUGUUUCCAACUCAUGGUAGUUCAGAUAUAAUACAAACAAAAUCACUUUUUUUGCGGGUACAAACAAAAUCACUUUAAGGUCCUAUUUGUUGGAACUUCUAUUGGCUUUGGAAUAAAACAACCAGCAUGAUGCCACAAGCUUGCAAAAACCGGCAUUACUACUAUAAAAGCUGUGAAGCCCAGAAGCUGGUUUCGAUGAUCUUUUCUAAAGUGCCAGCUUUUAGAAGCUGAAACAAAGGCCCUAAGGUGACAGGGUAGCUAGUGGCUAGGUGGGGCUGUAGGAUGGUUUCUUUUCUUUGCUUUUGGUGAUAGGUCUAAAAAUUUAUUUCUUGUGUGCAUAAAGGUAGGUCAUUUUUUAAAAAAAAAAGCUCAAUGGUUACUAGUUAAGUACUUCCUAACCUUGAUGGAUCCAUAACCGAUUUCAAGAUAGAUAGUAGGGACUCGGGAAAGCCAGGCUAUACUUCUAAUUAGAAAAGACUGCUCUCCACCAUGUUUGAAUAUACGAUGCCUUAGACUCUGAACAAGGAGAUGCUGUCCAAGAUUGGAUCAGGCUUGUUUCUUUCCCUACCCAAGUUUAUAAGCAUGCCACAACUCCUUAUGCAGGUGUUUGGUUCCUUGCUAACUAUAGGCUGCCAUGUUGUUAUGCAAGAUUUUCAGAGCUUUGCCAUACAAAAUCUCACCACCGGUGUGGUGGCAAAAAACAUUGCCGAACUGCCAGCUGCCCAGCUGCUGCAACUGCAAGACUCUGUACGCAUCCACUCCUGCAUGUCCUCUUUGAAGUUCACCACGCACCUUGCACCUUUGCCUGGAUGCACCCAGAGUCCCAGGUGUUCAUAGCAAGGGUCAGCACGAGCUAGUUUGCUUGUGCGUGUAUGAUUAUAAUCUAUGUUCCUGAGGAAGGCGACUACCUUUUCAGUUUCAGGUUUGGAAGAGCUAAACCAAACAGCCAACUUGUCUUAGGGCAGGUUUUAUUGAUUCCAGUGGUCUACAAAUAAUGACCCAAAAUCUUACUUCCAGCACAUUUUUCUUUGCCCGCAUUGUGUAAGCACAAAAUACAUUCUAAAUGCCUGUGCAUUUAUGUUCAGUUAAUGGGAUCUAUGCUUCUUUAAAGAAACUACUUCGCUCUGAGAGAGGUAACCUCACCACUUUGUAAUAUGGGUGACAUUCACUAGUGUUAGCUAGAAACUAAACAGCUAGUGUGAAUUUUAGCAACAUGUGUGGAAGCACACCAAACACCCACUAAGAAAAAUUUGGCACAGCUAACCUUUGGCAUGGCUACUAAACAUGUUCACUUUGCCGCAAAGUUAAGCAAGACACAAGUGUGGCUAACGUGGUAACGCCCAAGGUUAGGUGUGACAAACCUUACAGGCCCUUGUCUGUUCGCUUUUCAAUCACCAUGGACUUCAUUUGCACAGUGAUUGAAUUUAGUACCCUUUUAUGAUAAUUCCUGACAGGAAUAUGGUGAGGAUGAAGGUCAGGGUAUACAUAUGGUGAGACGAGUGCUACGUAGUUUGGGUUUGGUGCUUGGAUCAAUACUUGCGGCAUCCCUGGGCUAUACUGGGCUUGCGAAUUUUUCUCAGUUCCUUGGACAAUAAUAUAUUCCAUCUGUUGUUUACAAUUUUCAGAAAGGCCACUACUAUAAGUGGAUGCUGCUUUCCCAGUGGAUAACAAGUCAUGGAUCAUUGCAAAAUGAAUCCUGGUGCUGCUUUCAGUUGUCAUAUGCUGUUUUCAGGAACAGUAAAAGUAAUUCGCAGUAUCUCAUUCCAGGAGUUGAUUGUGACUACAGCUUCAUCCGUUCUUCUUUGCAUCUUAGCUCCAUACUACCGAUAGCAAUUGGUGCCGGAUUUGAAAAGACAUGCUCUAUAAAUGACACCAGCCUAUCCACCUCAGAUCUGGAAAAUUUUGCACGCAGAGGUCAGAUGAUGCUAUCAAAUGAUUGGAGGAAGUGAAAUUAUGCUACGAGAGUCAGCUGCUAACAGGGUUUUUUAAUACUGUUAAUUGAAGGUAUAGAAAGACCUCAGUGUCAUCCAGCUAAAAAUUUUCAGGGGUUCACGGGAUAUGCGUGUGUUAUUUAAUGUAAUGAAACAGUUACUUUGUGUUGAUGGGUUCUUAAUCGAUGAGAGGGUCUUGUACUACCUGCCCUGUUGAUAAGGCUGGCUGUUGCUUUUGCUGAUCGGUUAUAGUGCAAUGGUAACCUUUCUUGUGGUGUA